rnacentral:rRNA from 1 species
GAUGAACGCUGGCGGCGUGCCUAAUACAUGCAAGUCGAGCGAACGGACGAGAAGCUUGCUUCUCUGAUGUUAGCGGCGGACGGGUGAGUAACACGUGGAUAACCGACCUAUAAGACUGGGAUAACUUCGGGAAACCGGAGCUAAUACCGGAUAAUAUUUUGAACCGCAUGGUUCAAAAGUGAAAGACGGUCUUGCUGUCACUUAUAGAUGGAUCCGCGCUGCAUUAGCUAGUUGGUAAGGUAACGGCUUACCAAGGCAACGAUGCAUAGCCGACCUGAGAGGGUGAUCGGCCACACUGGAACUGAGACACGGUCCAGACUCCUACGGGAGGCAGCAGUAGGGAAUCUUCCGCAAUGGGCGAAAGCCUGACGGAGCAACGCCGCGUGAGUGAUGAAGGUCUUCGGAUCGUAAAACUCUGUUAUUAGGGAAGAACAUAUGUGUAAGUAACUGUGCACAUCUUGACGUUACCUAAUCAGAAAGCCACGGCUAACUACGUG